rnacentral:rRNA from 1 species
UACGUAGGGUGCAAGCGUUAAUCGGAAUUACUGGGCGUAAAGCGUGCGCAGGCGGUUUUGUAAGUCUGGCGUGAAAUCCCCGGGCUCAACCUGGGAAUUGCGAUGGAGACUGCAAGGCUAGAAUCUGGCAGAGGGGGGUAGAAUUCCACGUGUAGCAGUGAAAUGCGUAGAGAUGUGGAGGAACACCGAUGGCGAAGGCAGCCCCCUGGGUCAAGAUUGGCGCUCAUGCACGAAAGCGUGGGGAGCAAACAGG